CAAAACUAUAAAGAUGUAGGCCUCAAAUGAACAGUGCAAUAAUAUUACAUUUCUAAUUAUUUUAACACAAAACGCACACAAAACGACGUCGUUUAAUCGGAAAAAAAUCCAAAUUAAGCGUAGACGCCUUUUCUUUUCCAAUUUCUUUUGCUGCUCAAAUUUAUGGUCCGCCCAUAUCCGUGGGCCCUUCUCUUAAUAUUUCCAGUAUUUUCCAUUUUUCUUUAACAAACUCACGCGAGUUGUGUUCAUUUACACGCGCUUGCUUUCGGCGGUUGUCAGUCUGCUUCUGCGUUCUCUCGCUUGUCAAUCCCACCUUGACGUUUGUAGCUUCCGGUGUAGCCUGUGGGACGUGGGUUUACACAAUCUUUAUCGUCUCAUUUCUCUUUCCAAUUUUACAUUCUCCGGAGGCCAUUUCAGUACCCAACUAAAGGAAAACCCUAAAAAUUGCACUCUCAAAGCAAACCGCCCGCAAAUCAUCAGUCAUUCGAUGUAUUUUUUGCACAUCCGAUGGAGGUUUUCAAUCCCCAUCUCUGUUUCGUGAGUACAACAACAACAAAAUAGGGGUUUUCUAACCUUUUUACGCCGAUGCCGAAAACUGCCGAGGUUGGAGUCGACCGGAGCUCGUGAAUGGGAAUUAGGAUUCUCAGCCAUUAGGUUCUUCGUUUCCUCCAUUUUCUUUGUUCAAUCCAUUUAGGUUUGCUCUCGAUUACAUUUGGUAUGUUAUCUUUCUCAUUUAUCCCCAAAUAAAGUUUACGCUAUGAUUAUGUUAGACUCAUUCCCUUUUUCUUUAUGUGCUUGGGUGAUGUUCUUGAAAAUGCUAACAGAAGACAACUGCCUUAUUCCCUGCAGAAUGGGUCUGGGUAUAAUUUUUUCUCUCUUUCUUGAUUAAUCAUGUUAAGCUACACUUUGGUGCGAAAUUUGUGCAGAUCUUCCUAAUUUUUGCUACUAACUUUUUUCUUUCACUUGUUUAUGUGGGAUCCAUUUAAGUAAGCCCACUUAUCUAUUUAUCUUAUUAUCUUAAGCGAUUGCAGACUUUUCGGCGGGGAGGAAGACGUUGUCUCGUCCAUUUACUGAGUCAGUGACAUAAGUGGUAUACUGAUGUGGUUUGGUGCUCGGUUGAUUAGUUCUUCAUUCCGCCUCCGACAAUCCUCUCCGUCUGCCUCCUGUCCAAACCAGGCAACACACACUUGUUUAUUGAAAGGGUAUCUUUGGAUCUCAGUUUUUGUUGUUAUGGAAUUAUAUUAUGUUUUUUUGUUUCUGUGUUCUACGAGUAUUUUAAUUAUCUAAUAUAGUUGGUUUUUUGUCUUUUAAUUAACUGCAUAUCCUUUUCAAUAUCGUCGACUAAAUUAUUUCUUCAAAUUCAAAAUUGUUGUUACAUGGUUGUUAAAUUUAUGUUUUUCACCAUGGGUAUUCAAAUUUGGUUUUGCAGAAGUUUCAGUCAACAUUCAUCAGAUAGGCAUGUUAUCCAUAUCUGGUCAAAACCCAAUUAUAUAGGAAAAAUUGGCUGUCCUUGCUUUCAUUUGCAGUUGUUCAGUGUAUUGUGUAAUGGUUUUGUAAUUGAUCUAUGUCCUUGCUUUCAUUUGCAUUUGAUUUGAGGUUAUGUGUUUUGCUUUCAAUCGCUUAUUGCUCUUCUCUGAUAUUUUUUUAGCUGAUAUCCUUGGAAAUGCUAAUAGAAACCACUCAAGCUUACUCGGGCAAGAUGAUAUCCUAUGGAUUUAUGUGCAUUUGUUUUUUGCCACGGGGUAUCUCUGACGAAUUUUGGCGGGGUAGGUGAUGGAACGACGUCGAAUACCAGAGCUUUUCAGAUGGUUGUCGAUCAUCUCAGCCAGUUCGAAUCGGACGGUGGAUCGAUGCUCUUUGUUCCUUCUGGGAAGUGGGGUUGACUGGAAGCUUUAAUUUGACCAGCCAUUUUACAUUCUUUCUCCAUAAAGAUGUUGUUCUUCUCGCUUCUCAGGGGAUGAUGGCACCAUUAAUGGGCAUGGUGAAUCCUGGUUGAAGAAAUUCCAAAAGGGAGAUUCACAGUUAACUAGACUUCAUUUAAUUGAAAUAAUGUACUCUGUAAAUGUCCAAAUAUCAAUUUUUUUUUUUUUUUUGAGAUGAAACCAAAUAUCAAAUUUAACACUUGUUAAUUCACCAUCAUGGAAUGUUCAUCCUGUACUAUGUGUCUUUGUAAUUACUAUGCUUAUAGGUUUGGAUUGUUUAUUGAUAAUUAUGUUUUUGUUUAUAAGAGUUGGUUCCAUGGA